AACGCGAAGAACCUUACCAGGGCUUAAAUGUAAGUUGCAUGGACCAGAGAUGGACCUUUCUUCGGACUACUUACAAGGUGCUGCAUGGUUGUCGUCAGCUCGUGCCGUGAGGUGUCAGGUUAAGUCCUAUAACGAGCGCAACCCCUAUCGUUAGUUGCCAGCAAGUUGUGUUGGGUACUCUAGCGAGACUGCCGGUGCAAACCGAGAGGAAGGUGGGGAUGACGUCAAAUCAUCACGGCCCUUACGUCCUGGGCUACACACGUGCUACAAUGGUCGGUACAGAGAGCAGCCACUCCGCGAGGAGGAGCGAACCUUCAAAACCGAUCUCAGUUCGGAUCGCAGUCUGCAACUCGACUGCGUGAAGCUGGAAUCGCUAGUAAUCGCAUAUCAGCCAUGAUGCGGUGAAUACGUUCCCGGGUC
rnacentral:rRNA from 1 species